UUUCCCAUUUUGCGAUCAUUUAUGUUAUAAAUUAAGUGGUUAUGCUUAUGGGAUAAGUGAAAGCUUGUCAGAGUCUGAAGCGGAAGAUAUCUUUUUCCUAUGUGAAUGGCAGAACAGUCUUAC